ensembl:lncRNA
CCUGAGUCUCCGGGCUCAGGUGUCCAGCAUUGCUCCCUCCUGAGGGCUGCUGGGCUGCUGCCUGCAGACGUCUGUCCACGUCCUCCAGGAAAGAGUCCCACUCAGUCUACACACACACACACACACACACACACACACACACGCACACACACACACAUAUAUAUAUAUAUAUAUAUAGUGGUGUUCCCCUCUCCUCCCUUCCCUCUCCCCUCCCCUCCUCCCUUCCCUCUCUCCUCCUCUCCUCUCCCUCCCCUCCUCCUCCCUCCCUCCCCUCCCCUCUCUCCUCUCCUCCCUCUCCCCUCCUCCUCCCUCCCUCCCUCCCCUCCUCCCUUCCUCUCUCCUCCUCCUCCCUCCCUCCCCUCCUCUCUCCUCCCUCUCUCCUCUCCUCCCCUCCUCCCUUCCCUUCCCUCUCUCCUCCCCUCCUCCCUUCCCUCUCCCCUCCCCUCCUCUCCUCCCCUCCUCCCUUCCCUCUCUCCUCCCCUCCUCCCUUCCCUUCCCUCUCUCCUCCUCUCCUCUCCCUCCCCUCCUCUCCCCUCCUCUCUCCUCCCCUCUCUCCUCUCCCCUCCUCUUCCCUUCCCUCUCCCCUCCUCCUCCCUCCCUCCCCUCUCUCCUCUCCUCUCCUCCCCUCCUCCCUUCCCUCUCUCCUCUCCCCUCCUCUCCUCCUCCCUUCCCUCUCCCCUCCUCUCCCUCCCCUCCUCCUCCCUCCCCUCCUCUCCUCUCCUCCUCCCUUCCCUCUCCCCUCCUCUCCCCCUCCCUCCCCUCCUCCUCCCCUCCUCUCCUCCUCCCUUCCCUCUCCCCUCCUCUCCUCCCCUCCUCCCUUCUCUCUCCCCUCCCCUCCUCUCCUCCCCUCCUCCCUUCCUCUCCUCUCCUCUCCCUCCUCUCCCUCCCCUCCUCCUCCUCCCUCCCCUCCUCCCUUCCCUCUCUCCUCCUCUCCUCUCCUCUCCUCUCCCUCCUCCUCUCUCCUCUCCUCCCCUCCUCCCUUCCCUCUCCCCUCCUCUCUCCCCUCCCCUCCCUCCCUUCCCUUUCUCCUCCUCUCCUCUCCUCUCCCUCCCCUCCUCUCUCCUCCCCUCUCUCCUCUCCUCUCCUCCCCUCUCCCCUCCCCUCCUCCCUUCCCUCUCUCCUCCUCUCCUCCCUUCCCUCUCCCCUCCCUCCCUCCUCCCUUCCCUCUCUCCUCCCCUCCCCUCCUCCUCCCUCUCUCCUCCUCUCCUCUCCCUCCCUCCCCUCCUCUCUCCUCCCCUCCUCUCUCCUCCCCUCCCCCCCCCUUCCUCCCCUCCUCCCUUCCCUCUCUCCUCUCCCUCCUCCUCCCUCCCCUCCUCUCUCCUCUCCUCCCCUCCUCCCUCCCUCCCCUCCUCUCUCCUCUCCUCUCCCUCCCCUCCUCCCUCCCUCCCCUCCUCUCUCCUCUCCUCUCCUCCCCUCCCCCCUUCCCUCUCCCCUCCCCUCCCCUCCCCUCCUCCCUCUAGUCUAAAUUAA